UACGUAGGGUGCAAGCGUUGUCCGGAAUUACUGGGCGUAAAGAGCUCGUAGGUGGUUUGUCGCGUUGUCCGUGAAAACUCACAGCUUAACUGUGGGCGUGCGGGCGAUACGGGGCAGACUGGAGUACUGCAGGGGAGACUGGAAUUCCUGGUGUAGCGGUGGAAUGCGCAGAUAUCAGGAGGAACACCGGUGGCGAAGGCGGGUCUCUGGGCAGUAACUGACGCUGGAGGAGCGAAAGCGUGGGGAGCGAACAGG
rnacentral:rRNA from 1 species